AUAGUAACAUUUACUAAUAAGCAAGGAAACUGUAACUCAUUUUUUUCUGUUAUGCCACUUAAUACUGCUAUGAGAAUAGUUGCCAAAUUAGAGGUCUUACCAAGCUAGGUAUUGUAUAAACAAGAGAAUCGUAAGAAGUUGAAGGGAAGAAUAUAAGAAAAUAAAUGCAAAACAAACUAGCAGCCACCAACCGACACAACAAACCCAACUCAAAUUUAAAAACUUAAAAUACAACUGAUGAAGAAAAAAUACUUUUCUACUAACUUAGAAAUGUCAAAAAUAGUUUGUCCCUGUGGAGUAGUAACACAUUUAACUGGGAUUUUUGAGAUUGUUUUAAUGGAAUAGAGAUCCAGGAUGAAGCUGACAUGUUUCCUAACACAAUUUGUCAAAUACAUCAUAUUCUAAUUACUCUAGGAUGUCCGUGGAUGGAGCACUGAAAUAAACCUUGACUGAAAGCUUGCAGACCCUCAGGCACCACCUGAGACACACUGAAUCAUGGGAUUUGCAGGCACAUCUAUGUUUGUAUGAACAAUAUAGUUUCCUUAAAAAAAUAAGGCAUUCUAACUUUUAUCAGAGAUGAUAUAUUAUCAAAAGUAAACUCUUUACCUUAAUAUGCCACUCAUAGGCAUAUGAUUCGCAACAUUCUUUCUGUCUUUUAUGUUACUUUGCCCCUUCUUUAGUUACUAAAUUUGAUUCUACACAUACAGCCUUGGUUCCCCAUUCUUUCUUCCUGCUAGCCAUUCUGGACUCUGGCCAGAUUUGAUUGUUCUCUUGUUUAUGUUACCAUGGAACUUAGUUUAUGUAGCUCUAGCAAUGUGAUUGCAUUGGAUUAUAAUUUUUUGUGUCUUCAUCUCCCACAAAAAGAAGCCAUUCUUCCUAUCUUCUUCCUAAGUGAGGGAUGUAUACUUCCAUUCUUCUUGAAUAUCUACCCAGAAGUAGAACCUCUGAGUUAAAUGGCUUUUUACUCUUAGUGACAGAGACUUCAGACUUCACUGCAGAGAUUACAAAAAAGAGAAAAAGAGUUGGAAAAUGAAGUGUGAUUUAAGAAGUGAAGAAGCUGGUGGCCUGUAGAAAUAUGGCAAUGUUCAUUUCAUGACUCUUAUCACUUUAUAAUUUUUUUAAAUUCCAAAUGUGAAGUAAUUCAUGUUCAUUUCACAUCAUGAAACCUUGCAAGUAUUUUUUUAAAUGUAAUCUAUCUCCCCCUGACAGCCCUUUCUAAUAAUAAUAGCUUAAUGGUGUCUCUUAUGACUCUUAUCCAUAUGCAUAUGUGGGGUUUAUUGCUUUCUUAACACACAUAAUAAUUAUUUUGACUCUGAAUUUCUGAUUUAAAAAUAUAGUCAUCUUUUCAAAUUAAGAUAGACUUCUAAUUAUUUUUAAUAACUAUUAAUACCCAGAAUAUAAUCAUACCAUAUUUAACAAUUUUACCAUUGAAAAACAUUCCAAUUAUUUUCAGUUAUAUUGCUGUCACAAAUAAUGCUGCAAUAUUAAAAUAUUCUGUAAGUAUAAGUGCUGCUUUUCUUUUUUCUUUUUUUUUUUUAAGAGAUGAGGUCUUGCUAUGUUACUCAGGCUAGAAUGCAGUGGCUAUUCACAGGUGCUGUGUUUUUCAAAGGUUCUGACUACUUAUAAUAAAACAGUUAUUUCACCUCAUGGGCACUUUCAUAGUAUUUGUUAACCUUUUGUGGUUUGCAUGAUGUUUGCAUCUGAGGACUAUUGUAUUGAUGCAUAAUAUUUUUUUAAAAAUUGACUUCAUCAAAAAGCCACUAACAUGAUUCAACAUCUUCAACAAAAUGUUUUAAAACUUAGUAUCUUUGAAAACCUACUGCAAAAGUUAUAAGACCAGUACCAAUGAUGACAAGGGGUUAUAUAUUUUUAUUUUUACUUUUUUAAAAACUGAAACAUUAAGUCCACUUAACAUUUUAUUAAGAUUUUAUUAAGAUCUUGCUCUCC
rnacentral:lncRNA from 1 species